rnacentral:rRNA from 1 species
CUACCAGGGUAUCUAAUCCUGUUUGCUCCCCACGCUUUCGUACCUGAGCGUCAGUAAAAGUCCAGAAAGUCGCCUUCGCCACCGGUAUUCCUCCUAAUAUCUACGCAUUUCACCGCUACACUAGGAAUUCCACUUUCCUCUCCUUCACUCAAGUCUUCCAGUUUCAAGUGCUUAAUGAGGUUAAGCCUCACGCUUUCACACCUGACUUAAAAAACCGCCUACGUACCCUUUACGCCCAAUAAUUCCGGACAACGCUCGCCCCAUACGUAUUACCGCGGCUGCUGGCAC